AAAAAAUCCAAAACCAAAUCCCUCUCUCUCUUUCGCUCUCUCUCAGCUCUCCCUUUCUGUCUCUCCCUCUCUCUCGUAACCCAUUCCCCCUCCUCCUUAUCCCACCCGCUCAAAACCCAGAUCCCAACCCAACCCCCUUAAAACCAAUGAGAGAAAGCCAAAGAACGUACUCUACCUUUCCCUCCACAGUCCUGACGUCAAGACAGAUUGAACUUGUCUACUUGGGAUUUUGGGUUUUGUACAUUAUGUAAAAUAGAGUAUUGUGUUUUGUAUCUUCUUCUUGACCAGAAAAACAUCUCCUUAAGGUACCGAACUAAGGUUUUCGGCAAAUAAGUUUUUGCAGGUUCGGUUGGGAUCUGGGUUUUGAAGGAGGAGGGGGGAAUAGGUUGAGGGAGAGAGAGGGAGAGACAAAGAGGGAGACUGCUGAACACAAAUGAAAGCAAAAGUAAAGGUGAAAAUCACGGGAAGAGGCCAAGAGAUUGUGGAAUUAAGAAGUUUCCUUGAAGAAAAGAAUUGUUGGGUAGGAUUCUUGAGGUGGGGUUGUUGAAUUGAUGAUGGAAGAACAAGGUGGCUUUCCAAAAUAGUCAGAUUCUUGAGGUGGGUUUGUUGGGUCAAUGAUGGAAGAAGAAGGUGGAGUUGGGGUCAAUGCUAGAUGAAGAAUCCGAAAGGACGUUUUUACCCCCUCAUUUUGACAGAUAAAUUGACAUAAUUGGAUGGCAGGACCCAAUUGGAACUAUUUAUCAAGUUAACGAAUGUAAUUGUCUCAAAAAAAAAUUUACGAACCCAAUUACAAAUGAGGGCCAAGUUCAGAAGUGUCUAGGGAGUUUCAUUUUGCUGAUACUACUGGAUAUUCAUGCAAUUAAGGCAGUGAUGGUUGGGGGCCACCUGGAUCCAGGCCCAAUGGUUGAGGAAACAGCAAAGGCAAAAGUGUGGAAGUUGGGGGAAUGUGGCUCAAGGAGAUCAAAAAGCGUAGGAGGAGGGGGCCAGCCAGCCAGCUAUAGGCUAAACUGGAUGAGGUGGGUGGCUGGGCAAACUAUUCAUUGCUUGGUUGGGUGACAUCUCCAGGAUUCUCCAAAUUUUAACUUAAAUAGCUAGAAAGUCAUUAUAACAAACUACUUAAAGGUAGUUUUCUUCAAUAAUAUUCUCUAAUUUGGUUGAUUUUUAAUAUUUUAUUAUUUCUCUCUCAUCCUCUCUAAAUUAAAAGUUCAUUAAAAAAAUUAAAAAGUGAGAGGUGAGAGAGGGUUGUGUGUCUAGGGAGAGAGAAUAGGAAGAAAUGGAGAACCCUCAAUUUUUCUCUCAUCCUCUCCAAAUGUCGAGAGCCACCAAACUCAAAUAGGGAGUUCUCCAAAAUAGAGAGCUAGAUAGCAAGUCCAUUGAAGCUGUGUUUUGCCCUCAUUCUAGCCAAAAUGGUUAAGGAUCAGAGUAUAGCAAUUCUGCUAGAGAUGCUCUUAAGGAUUGUUUGCUUGCUUUCUUUCAUUUUCAUGUGUAUACAAGGAGUUGAGAAGCACUUCUGACAAUGUUUGAUAUAAAAUGCUUAUGGAUUAUUAAAGCACUUGGAUUUUAAAUAAAAUUUUCGAGGUCCUAAUAAAAGUGCUUAAGCAAUUCCAUUACAUAGUCACUUUCAUUUUUUGUUUCUGAAAAGAACAUAAUCACUUUCAUUCUUACAAUCCUUUUGCUUUUUCUUCGGCAAAUUCUUGACAUCUUGUACUUGCUUUGUUGAGCAUUGCCACUUAAAAGAAAAUCAACAUGUUCCACCUUUAUAUGAGCACUUGGUCCUCUCAACCUCAUUCACUUUUAAUGCCACUACAACUUUUACAGGAGAUAGAGCACCAACUGCAAAAAGAUAAUUUAAGCACUCUCCAUUUGAUCCACCUUCAGAAUUACAUCCAACCAAAACCAAGCCUCGCUCACAAAAGAAUUUACAAGUUCUUUACCAGGUUUGGAACACGUGGCGUAGAGCUUACAACAUAUAACAAAAUUGGAGAUGACAACUGAAACCAAGAUUGGAGUUCCCAAAACAAAUUUAUUAGAAUUACAACUAACCUAAAUACAUUGUUUAAAGGCAGAGAGAAAAUAUGAAGAAAUAAAAUAUACAAUAUAAAUAAGCCUCUCAUACAAAAAUAAUAGAAAACAAAUGAGAAAACUGAAUUACAAGAUAUAUAAUUAUAUAUCACCUCUCAAUUUGAAUGGCUUUCCCGGCUCGGAUGAAUCAGCAGCAUUUGCAGCCCUCAUGAGCAGUCUCACAAAAU